rnacentral:rRNA from 1 species
GACGUAGGGCGCGAGCGUUGUCCGGAUUUAUUGGGCGUAAAGAGCUCGUAGGCGGCUUGUCGCGUCGACUGUGAAAACCCGCGGCUCAACUGCGGGCCUGCAGCCGAUACGGGCAGGCUAGAGUUCGGUAGGGGAGACUGGAAUUCCUGGUGUAGUGGUGAAAUGCGUAGAUAUCGAGAGGAACACCUGCGGCGAAGGCGGGUAGCUGGGCCGACACUGACGCUGAGGCGCGAAAGCGUGGGGAGCAAACAGG